rnacentral:rRNA from 1 species
AUUGAACGCUGGCGGCAGGCCUAACACAUGCAAGUCGAGCGGAUGAAGGGAGCUUGCUCCUGGAUUCAGCGGCGGACGGGUGAGUAAUGCCUAGGAAUCUGCCUGGUAGUGGGGGAUAACGUCCGGAAACGGGCGCUAUUACCGCAUACGUCCUGGGGGGGAAAGGGGGGGAUCUUCGGACCUCCCGCUAUCAGAUAAGCCUAGGUCGGAUUAGCUAGUUGGUGGGGUAAAGGCCUACCAAGGCGACGAUCCGUAACUGGUCUGAGAGGAUGAUCAGUCACACUGGAACUGAGACACGGUCCAGACUCCUACGGGAGGCAGCAGUGGGGAAUAUUGGACAAUGGGCGAAAGCCUGAUCCAGCCAUGCCGCGUGUGUGAAGAAGGUCUUCGGAUUGUAAAGCACUUUAAGUUGGGAGGAAGGGCAGUAAGUUAAUACCUUGCUGUUUUGACGUUACCAACAGAAUAAGCACCGGCUAACUUCGUG